GUAGAUGCUCAUUCCACCUUUUAUGAUUGCGUAGCUUCAUAACCCUGGGAAUGACGCAGAGCCAAAUUACAGUGUCUCUUGUCUAUCUGCCCGAUAACCAUUGUUCUCUCUGACAAACGUUAUCAACCAGCAGACAAAACGUUGAGUGUGACACUACCCAUGUUGUCCAAGACCUGAUUGUUUUUGACACUUGUCUCUCCGGCAAGUGUUUUUUU
rnacentral:sRNA from 1 species